UACGAACCGGACAAACGUUAUUCGGAAUCAUUGGGCUUAAAGGGUGCGCAGGCGGCCGUUCAAGUCGGGUGUGAAAUCCCUCGGCUCAACCGAGGAAUUGCGCCCGAUACUGUGCGGCUAGAGGGAGACAGAGGCGAGCGGAACUGAUGGUGGAGCGGUGAAAUGCGUUGAUAUCAUCAGGAACACCGGUGGCGAAGGCGGCUCGCUGGGUCUCUUCUGACACUCAUGCACGAAAGCUAGGGUAGCGAACAGG
rnacentral:misc_RNA from 1 species